CAAGCGAUGAUGGGUUACCGGGCCUGAGUAGGGUGUUUCGCGCACUAGUGGUACUGGAGACCGGCCCUUACUCCUCGGGAGGCAGCAUGGGGAAUAUUGGACAAUGGACCAAAAGUCUGAUCCAGCAAUUCUGUGUGCACGAUGAAGUGUUUUCGGAAUGUAAAGUGCUUUCAGUUGGGAAGAAGUCAGUGACGGUACCAACAGAAGAAGCGACGGCCUAAAUACGUGCCAGCAGCCGCGGUAAUACGUAUGUCGCAAGCGUUAUCCGGAUUUAUUGGGCGUAAAGCGCGUCUAGGCGGUUUAGUAAGUCUGAUGUGAAAAUGCGGGGCUCAACCCCGUAUUGCGUUGGAACACUGCUAAACUAGAGUACUGGAGAGGUAGGCGGAACUACAAGUGUAGAGGUGAAAUUCGUAGAUAUUCUGUAGGUAAUGCCGAUGGGGAAGCCAGCCUACUGGACAGAUACUGACGCUCAAGCGCGAAAGCGUGGGUAGCAAACAGGAUUAGAUACCCUGGUAGUCCACGCCGUAAACGAUGGUAUUACUAGGUGUCUUGGGGGUCGAACCUCAGCGCCCAAGCUAUACGCGUAUAAGUACUCCGCCUGGGGAGUACGUACGCAAGUAAUCG
rnacentral:rRNA from 1 species